rnacentral:rRNA from 1 species
CACGCCACGGUAAUACGUAGGGUGCAAGCGUUAAUCGGAAUUACUGGGCGUAAAGCGUGCGCAGGCGGUUAUAUAAGACAGAUGUGAAAUCCCCGGGCUCAACCUGGGAACUGCAUUUGUGACUGUAUAGCUAGAGUACGGCAGAGGGGGAUGGAAUUCCGCGUGUAGCAGUGAAAUGCGUAGAUAUGCGGAGGAACACCGAUGGCGAAGGCAAUCCCCUGGGCCUGUACUGACGCUCAUGCACGAAAGCGUGGGGAGCAAACAGGAUUAGAUACCCCUGUAGUCCCUGUCUCUUAUACAC